ensembl:misc_RNA Metazoa_SRP Metazoan signal recognition particle RNA
GCUGGCCUUUAGUCACGGCUACUUAGGAAGCUGAGACAAGAGAAUUGCUUGAGCUCAGGAGUUCUGGACUGUAGUGCACUAUGUCAGUUGGGUGUCUGCACUAAGUUUGGCAUCAAUAUGGUGACCUCCCAAGAGCAGGGAACCACCAUGUUGCCUAAGGAGAGGUGAACUGGCCCAGGUCUGAAACAGAAUGGGUCAAAACCCCUGUGCUGAUCAGUAGUGACAUCGUGCCUGGGAAUAGCCAUUCCACUCCAGGCUGGGCGACAUAGCAAGACCUUGUCUCUC